rnacentral:rRNA from 1 species
GAUGAACGCUGGCGGCGUGCCUAAUACAUGCAAGUCGAGCGAACAGACGAGGAGCUUGCUCCUUUGACGUUAGCGGCGGACGGGUGAGUAACACGUAGGUAACCUACCUAUAAGACUGGGAUAACUUCGGGAAACCGGAGCUAAUACCGUAUAAUAUUUCGAACCGCAUGGUUCGAUAGUGAAAGAUGGCUUUGCUAUCACUUAUAGAUGGACCUGCGCCGUAUUAGCUAGUUGGUAAGGUAACGGCUUACCAAGGCAACGAUACGUAGCCGACCUGAGAGGGUGAUCGGCCACACUGGAACUGAGACACGGUCAAGACUCCUACGGGAGGCAGCAGUAGGGAACCUUCCGCAAUGGGCGAAAGCCUGACGGAGCAACGCCGCGUGAGUGAUGACGGUCUUCGGAUCGUAAAACUCUGUUAUUAGGGAAGAACAAACGUGUAAGUAACUGUGCACGUCUUGACGGUAACUAAUCAGAAAGCCACGGCUAACUACGUG